GUCAGGAUUUUGGAUAUGUUGUUCAUCCAGAUGUUAUAUAAAUUCUCAACGGUUAAGAUCGGAAACAAAUACUCUUACCAGAAAUUAUACUUCCCGAACAGUAGGUCUCUAAUUUUCAGGAGAAGCAUUCACUCGACUUCUCAAGAGCUCGUAUAGUAGGAGCUUAAGGAGAGAUUGCAGGAGGGACACAACAACAACAAGGAAGAGCGAGUUGAGCUUCUGCAGCUGGUGAUGAUUCGAGGUCGAAUCCUUUUGAGGAGCGAGGGGAUGAUGCGAUCCAACCAUCAAAGGAUCCAUUGGAGGUUCCAGUUGGUCCAGUUACUAGGCUUAGGGCUAAGAAGUUCAAAAAAGCUUUCAAUGGACUUCUUCAAGAUACAUGGGCUAAGGUGGACUUCAAGAGGAUUUGUAAUAAUAAAGAGCAAGCCUUGAUUAAUCUGAUUCAUGUUCAAGAGGGGCUUGUUGGUGGAACCAAGACCAU